AGAGAGAGACAUGCGCGCAUAUCAAUAAGCGGAGGAAAAGAAACUAACAAGGAUUCCCCUAGUAACGGCGAGUGAAGCGGGAAGAGCUCAAAUUUGAAAUCUUAAAGGGUUUCCCUUUACGAAUUGUAGUUUAAAGAAGUGUUUUCUGUUGAGGUUUUGGUAAAAGUUCUUUGGAAUAGGACAUCAUAGAGGGUGAGAAUCCCGUAUUUGACCUUUACUUUCAACUUUGUGAUACACUUUCAAAGAGUCGGAUUGUUUGGGAAUGCAGUCCAAAAUGGGUGGUAAAUUUCAUCUAAAGCUAAAUAUUGGCGAGAGACCGAUAGCGAACAAGUACCAGUGAGGGAAAGAUGAAAAGAACUUUGAAAAGAGAGUUAAACAGUACGUGAAAUUGUCAAAAGGGAAGCGUUUGACACCAGUGUUGUUUUUCUGAAAAUCAAUUAAAGAACUGUUUAUGCUAAGCUGUUUAGACUUUAUCAGCUAACUGUUUAGUUUUGAGCUUUUCUUUAAUGCACUUUUCAGUUAACAAGUCAACAUCAAUUUCUUUUGCUGUAAAAAAGCUUGAGGAAGGUGGCUUGAGAUUCGUCUUAAGUGUUUAUAGCCUCUUGCCUAUGCAGUCGGAGAGAUUGAGGUCUGCAGCGUAGAUCCUUCGGGGCUAAAUGCAUUUGUGCUAAGUUAUAGCAUUUUAUAGACAACUUGUUGACUAUGAUUUGUCUUGUAGCUUACUCGCUUAUGUUAUUUUACCUACGCUUAGGAUGUUGAGCGCAUGUCUCUCUCU
rnacentral:rRNA from 1 species